rnacentral:tRNA from 1 species
AUUAUAAUGGCAGAUUAGUGCAUAGAAUUUAAGCUUCUAUUAUGGGGUUUCUCUUAUAAUA